UUGUAGCACCCUGCUUGUGGUUAACGCUUAGCUGGAAUGAAAUAUUCAACGCAGCAAUAGAGAAAUUAAAAUAAUAAUUUAUUUGUCAGACAAAUAAAUGAGAGACACAGUGGUAUAUGGAUACCAAAGCUCUGCCUACUCCAGCCCUGAUGGCCAGCACUUAUAUUUCCUCAGCCCAGCCCCCUUGCUCCUCCUUUGGCUGCCUCUGUCCAAUCAGCCUGGUUGAAAUUCCUAUUGGUUGUUUGCUAGAACCAAUCAUAAAAGAUACACCCAUUUCCUAUUACCUUUUAUGGGAGACAAAGAGCUAUAUUUCCUUCUAUCCAUAAAUGGCAGACAAGUAGCCAUAUAUCUUACAUUUACCUCGACCAGGCACCUUAAUUACCAGAUAACCUUUGGCCCCUGUUGCCCUAUUCACUGCAAACCAGAUGGCUAAAGCAGAUGGUGCAUGGUUUUUAAUUUUUUAUCUUAAAGAGAUCUUGAGUUCACCUUCUCACACACCAUCUAUGAAAUAAGAAUCUAACAUAAGAAUCUAACAUUUCUUACUUUCUAAAUCCUUUGCAUAAUUACAUUUAAGCCAAUAUAUUUCAUACAUAACAUAGAUAGAUUUUUAGAAGGAAAGGCCUUUUCAAAGUGAACUUAGUAAAAGCUAAGUUCUCUAAGUUCUCUGAAGCUUCAAAGCAGCUUCGGAGAGAAGCCUCUUUCCCUAGCCAGCUGCUGUUUCUAAAAGCAACUUCUUCAAUUUACCCUUUAACCUUAUGAAAAUAUGGCUCGAGCCUUCUGUUAAACAAUAAAUUUCACUGUUUACCAGC